rnacentral:rRNA from 1 species
GACAGAGGUGCCGAGCGUUAGGCGGAAUCACUGGGCUUAAAGCGUGUGUAGGCGGAUGCCUAAGUACCUUGUGAAAUCCCACCGCUCAACGGUGGAACUGCUGGGCAUACUGGCGAUCUUGAGCCACCUAGGGGCAGACGGAACAAGCGGUGGAGCGGUGAAAUGCGUAGAUAUCGCUUGGAACGCCGACGGUGAAAACAGUCUGCUGGGGGUGUGCUGACGCUGAGACACGAAAGCCAGGGGAGCGAACGGG